rfam:Schistosoma curassoni strain Dakar, Senegal genome assembly, scaffold: SCTD_scaffold0001315
AUCCAUCUGAAGAGUCCCAAAUAGGACGGAACGUGCGUCCUGGAU